rnacentral:lncRNA from 1 species
CUCACUGCAAGCUCCGCCUCCCUGGUUCAUGCCAUUCUCAUGCGUCAGCCUCCCGAGUAGCUGGGACUACAGGCGCCUGCCACUAGGCCCGGCUAAUUUUUUUUGUAUUUUUAGUAGAGACAGGGUUUCACUGUGUUAGCCAGGAUGUUCUUGAUCUCCUGACCUCGUGAUCCGCCCGCCUCGGCCUCCCAAAGUGCUGGGAUUACAGGCGUGAGCCACCGCGCCCGGCCGAUUGUGAGUCUUUUAUAAAGCUCUGGAGAUAAGAAGGCCAAAAUGAGUCCUAUGGAGUAUUUGCACAGCCAGUUUCUUCUGGAAGCUUCAAGAGAGAGUCUGUUCCUUGCCUUUUCCAGCUUCUAGAGGCAGCCGACACUCCUUGGCUCAUGGCCACAUAACUCUGACCUGUGUCUAUUGUCACAUCACUGACUCUUCUGACCUCCUACCAGGACCCUUGUGAUUACAUUGGGCCUGCUUGGAUAACCCAGGAUAGCUUCUCCAUCUUAAGGUUGUUAAUCACAUCUGCAGAAUGCCUGUUGCCAUAUAAGUUAACAUAUUCACAGGUUCUAGGAAGAAGGACAUGGACAUCUUCCAGGAAGCAUUAUUCUGUCUACCACAGCAGAGAACCCUGACUCAUACAGCGGCUCAAAGGAAUCUCAGUAAAUCUGAGAAAGAAAAACCACCUCACCAGGCCCUCUAUUUAAGGCUGGUAGCCACUGGUGAAAGUGAUCAUUAAACACUUGGAAUGUAGCUGGUCCAAAUAGAAAUAUGCUGUAAGUAUAUGAAUUUCAAAUAUUUAGUACAAAAACAUGUAAGAUGUUACAUGAAUAAGUUUUAUAUUGAUUACAUGUUGAAAUGAUCAUGCUUUGGAUGUAUUUGGAU